rnacentral:rRNA from 1 species
GACGAACGCUGGCGGCGUGCUUAACACAUGCAAGUCGAACGGAAAGGCCCUGCUUUUGUGGGGUGCUCGAGUGGCGAACGGGUGAGUAACACGUGAGUAACCUGCCCUUGACUUUGGGAUAACUUCAGGAAACUGGGGCUAAUACCGGAUAGGAGCUCCUGCUGCAUGGUGGGGGUUGGAAAGUUUCGGCGGUUGGGGAUGGACUCGCGGCUUAUCAGCUUGUUGGUGGGGUAGUGGCUUACCAAGGCUUUGACGGGUAGCCGGCCUGAGAGGGGGACCGGCCACAUUGGGACUGAGAGACGGCCCAGACUCCUACGGGAGGCAGCAGUGGGGAAUAUUGCACAAUGGGCGGAAGCCUGAUGCAGCAACGCCGCGUGCGGGAUGACGGCCUUCGGGUUGUAAACCGCUUUCGCCGGUGACGAAGCGUGAGUGACGGUAAUGGGUAAAGAAGCACCGGCUAACUACGUG